CAAGAAAGCUUUUAAAAAAAGGUAAAUUAUUUCAAAUGGUUUUGGGGCCAGGUUAUCAUGUACAGAGCUACUGCCUUGAAAGACUGAGCAGGAUUUGACAAGACAUUAAAUAUGCUUCCUUUUCUUUUGAAACAUCAACAUAUUUCUUUUCUACCUCUGAGUUUUAACUGUGCUGAUACUCUCUGAAUGCUACAUCAUUCUGAUAGUUACCCCAAAUUGAUCUUUAAAUCAUUUCUUCUCCCCCUAGAACUGUUACUAAACCAAGUCCAAAGUUUCCCAGAAUGAUUUUUACUGAAAUUCAGAAGCUGGUCUUGGAAGUGGCCCACAAACAUGAGAAGUGUUGCACAGGAAAUGUGUUAGGAACGUCUGUAGGAUGAGGCGAGGAGUCUUGUUCCAAAAUGAUAUAUCUCUGCUCCUCUUUCUUUCC
rnacentral:lncRNA from 1 species